CACAGCAUUAGGAAGGGUGAGAACCACUGAUACACAAAGGAAAUGCGAGAUUAGUCCCAGGAGGCUCUGGGUAAUAAUAGUAGCCUUUGUUGAGGCUUUCUGUUUUCCAAGACACCAAUUUCUCUCCAUGCUCUGGGCCAGUUCUCAAUGGAAAGAGAAUCCCAGACGAUGGUGACUCAGUUUCUGGCAACAGGCUUUGCAGGAACAGUCAGAGUUGUAGGUAUGGAAUACAACGCUCAAGAUCAAGUACACUCUGGAACAGAGGUCAUCAGACUUCAGACUUGUUUCCUCACUUCAGAGAUGCUGUCUCUGCCUGCUGUACAUUGUGGAUACUCCUCUUCUGCAGGAUCCCAGCACCAUGAUGCUGUGCCCAGGGGCAUGCACCAAACAACCAUCAAAUAAAUCCUGUAAAACCAUGAGUCAAAACAAGAACUUCAAUACUUUAAAGUCAUUUCUAUCAAAUACUUUACUCAAAACUAUGCCCCCCCCCAAAAAAAGCCCAAUACACCUUGUAAUAUGACUGCCUAGUUGGGUUUGAGAUUAUAAUACACAAAGACACACAAAUAUUGGUUCUAUCUAAGUCUCCAGUUGGCAUCUGAAACAGGAGACAGUCUUAUGGGACUAAGUUUUAAUUUGUAGGAACGAGGAAGUCCAGAGAAGUCAGGGUAAUUAUUGUCUCAGGUG
rnacentral:lncRNA from 1 species